rnacentral:rRNA from 1 species
CCUACGGGUGGCAGCAGUGGGGAAUAUUGCACAAUGGGGGAAACCCUGAUGCAGCAACGCCGCGUGAGUGAAGAAGUAUUUCGGUAUGUAAAGCUCUAUCAGCAGGGAAGAAGAUGACGGUACCUGAUUAAGAAUCCCCGGCUAACUACGUGCCAGCAGCCGCGGUAAUACGGAGGGGGCAAGCGUUGUCCGGAUUUACUGGGUGUAAAGGGAGCGCAGGCGGCAGUGCAAGUCUGGAGUGAAAGCCCAGGGCUCAACCCCGGAACUGCUCGGGAAACUGUACGGCUAGAGUACUGGAGGGGAAGGCAGAAUUCCUAGUGUAGCGGUGAAAUGCGUAGAUAUUAGGAGGAAUACCAGUGGCGAAGGCGGCCAGCUGGACAGUAACUGACGUUGAGGUUCGAAAGCGUGGGGAGCAAACAGGAUUAGAUACCCCUGUAGUC